GAGCUUCUCUUCAGUAGCACAUGCACUAAAAUUGGACCGAUACAGAGAUUAGCAUGGUCCCUGCAGAAGGAUGUCACGCAAAUUUGUGAGGCGUUCCAUAUUUUU
rnacentral:snRNA from 1 species